rnacentral:rRNA from 1 species
UACGUAGGGUGCGAGCGUUAAUCGGAAUUACUGGGCGUAAAGGGUGCGCAGGCGGCUCCGCAUGUCGGGCGUGAAAUCCCCGGGCUUAACCUGGGAAUUGUGUCCGAAACUAUGGAGCUGGAGUGUGGCAGAGGGAGGUGGAAUUCCACGUGUAGCGGUGAAAUGCGUAGAGAUGUGGAGGAACACCGAUGGCGAAGGCAGCCUCCUGGGCCAACACUGACGCUCAUGCACGAAAGCGUGGGGAGCAAACAGG